GUCUACGGCCAUGCCACCCUGAACGUGCCCGAUCUCAUCUGAUCUUGGAAACUAAGGACGGUCAGGCCUGCUCAGUACUUGGAUGGGAGACCACCUUGGAAUACCAGGUGUUGUAGGCA
rnacentral:rRNA from 1 species